CGCGGGAUGUUGUAAUGGUAGCAUUUCAGGCUCAUUACCUGAAGAUAGAGGUUCGAAUCCUUUUCCCGCCA
rnacentral:tRNA from 1 species